rnacentral:rRNA from 1 species
GACGAACGCUGGCGGCGUGCUUAACACAUGCAAGUCGAACGAGGAACCCGGAGCUUGCUCUGUGGUAUUAGUGGCGAACGGGUGAGUAACACGUGAGUAACCUGCCCUGGACUCUGGGAUAAGCGUUGGAAACGACGUCUAAUACCGGAUAGGACCUUGGAUCGCAUGAUCUGGGGUGGAAAGUUUUUUCGGUCUGGGAUGGACUCGCGGCCUAUCAGCUUGUUGGUGAGGUAAUGGCUCACCAAGGCGUCGACGGGUAGCCGGCCUGAGAGGGUGACCGGCGACAGUGGGACUGAGACACGGACCAGACUCCUACGGGAGGGAGCAGUAGGGAAUAUGGAAAAAUGGGAGAAAGCCUGAGGCAGCAACGCCGAGUGCGGGAGGACGAACAUCGGGUUGGAAACCGAAUUUAGUAGGGAAGAAGGGCUACGGAUUGACGGUACCUGCAGAAAAAGGACCGGCUAACUACGUG